AUACGGAGGAUCCGAGCGUUAUCCGGAUUUAUUGGGUUUAAAGGGUGCGCAGGCGGGAGAUUAAGUCGGCGGUGAAAUUUUGCAGCUCAACUGUAAAAGUGCCUUCGAAACUGGUUUCCUUGAGUGUAGAUGAAGUAGGCGGAAUUUGUGGUGUAGCGGGGAAAUGCAUAGAUAUCACGAGGAACUCCGAUUGCGCAGGCAGCUUACUAAACUACUACUGACGCUCAGGCACGAAGGCGUGGGGAUCAAACAGGAUUAGAUACCCUGGUAGUCCACGCAGUAAACGAUGAUUACUAGCUGUUUGCGAUACAAUGUAAGCGGCUGAGCGAAAGCGUUAAGUAAUCCACCUGGGGAGUACGUUCGCAAGAAUGAAACUCAAAGGAAUUGACGGGG
rnacentral:rRNA from 1 species